ACUGGAGCCCCGAACACUGGUGGGAAAGUCCCUGAGUGCAUGCCCUCGUGUCUUCUAGAUCAUGCUCAGAAGUAGACUCGCGGGGCGUGUGAAGAUCUUCUAUGUACUUAACUUUCUAAGGAGCCGCCAAGCUGUCGCAGUAGCUUCAUUACUUCACAUUCUUACGAGCAAGCUUCACCAAGCGUUGAAAGUCAAAGUUUAAUUCUUGAAACUUUCCUGAGAGUAGGAAGGGGUAACUCUCUGUAUGACAGGCAGCAAAAUGUGACAUGAAACACGAUUUAUAAAUGAGCAGAGACUGAGCUGAAGAUUCACACCCUCCCUCAUAAGCACUAAGACCCCGGGCGAGCUCUCUAAGGUGGAGAGAUAAUGGAAAAUAUUCUGGAAGACAAAGAGGAAAAACUCUUGAAGACAUAGGUAUAGGCAAGAACUUUCUGAACAGAAUCUGAAUUACCGAAAAAUAACAUCAAGAAUCAACUAAUAGGGUCAUAUCAAAUUAAAAAGUUUCUGCACAAUAAAGGAAACAACCAACAGAGUAAUGGGACAAUCUACAGAAUGGUAAAAAAAAGUCAGCUAUCUUCUCCAGAGGAAUAACAUCUAGACUUCAUAAAGAAUUAAAGGUAUUAGUUUUAGCCCCCAAAUAAAAGAGCCAAUUGAAAAAUGGGCAACUGAAAUGAACAAACAUAAUUUGGAAGAAGAAGUACAAUAGUCAAUAAAUAAAUGUAUGAAAAAAUGUUCAACAUCUCUGGCCAUUAGGGAAAUGGAAAUUAAAACAUUGAGUUUCCAUAUUA